GAGGUGGCAAGCGUUGUCCGGAAUUAUUGGGGCGUAAAGCGCGCGCAGGCGGUUCUUUAAGUCUGAUGUCGAAAGCCCAGGGCUCAACCGUGGAGGGUCAUUGGAAACUGGAGAACUUGAGUACAGAAGAGGAAAGCGGAAUUCCACGUGUAGCGGUGAAAUGCGUAGAGAUGUGGAGGAACACCAGUGGCGAAGGCGGCUUUCUGGUCUGUAACUGACGCUGAGGCGCGAAAGCGUGGGGAGCAAACAGGAUUAGAUACCCUGGUAGUCCACGCCGUAAACGAUGAGUGCUAAGUGUUAGGGGGUUUCCGCCCCUUAGUGCUGCAGCUAACGCAUUAAGCACUCCGCCUGGGGAGUACGGCCGCAAAGGCUGA
rnacentral:rRNA from 1 species